GAUGAACGCUGGCGGCGUGCUUAACACAUGCAAGUCGAACGGGGAAUCUUUCAUUGAGACUUCGGUGGAUUUGAUUUAUUUCUAGUGGCGGACGGGUGAGUAACGCGUGGGUAACCUGCCUUAUACAGGGGGAUAACAGUCAGAAAUGGCUGCUAAUACCGCAUAAGCGCACAGAGCUGCAUGGCUCAGUGUGAAAAACUCCGGUGGUAUAAGAUGGACCCGCGUUGGAUUAGCUAGUUGGUGGGGUAACGGCCCACCAAGGCGACGAUCCAUAGCCGGCCUGAGAGGGUGAACGGCCACAUUGGGACUGAGACACGGCCCAGACUCCUACGGGAGGCAGCAGUGGGGAAUAUUGCACAAUGGGGGAAACCCUGAUGCAGCGACGCCGCGUGAAGGAAGAAGUAUCUCGGUAUGUAAACUUCUAUCAGCAGGGAAGAUAGUGACGGUACCUGACUAAGAAGCCCCGGCUAACUACGUG
rnacentral:rRNA from 1 species